GCGGCGGGAAGGCUGGGUCGGAGAACCACCGACGCUUCCCCCCCUUCUACCGCCUGCGCUCUGAAAAGAGGCGUUUUAUUUUUAAUACCGCCAAUCAGCGCCGGCUUUGCGUCUCUAGAGCCAAUCGGAACGGAGACUCCGGCUCGCUCGGGGGCCCCGCCCCCCUCCGGCUUUAUAUGGCAGCUCGCGGGCGCUUCUCUUUCUUUUCCUCUUUCUUGGAGGGGGUUUUAGUUCUCUCUCGCGCAGCAGCUACCCAGGUGCUCCGGACGUGGAUCGCCGGCAUGGACCCCAGUGCGAGUCUCGGGAGCCGCAGGCAAACAUUAAAGUGACGUUUUGUGCAAGGCGCUAUGCCAGAUGCUGCUGGUCUGAAGAGGACUUUAUGGUCUUCAAAGAGCUGCAGAGGCCAAAAGAGCUCAGUUGGUGCCCGUGGAAUGGUGAGCAUUUAGGUAUAGACAGGAAUUAUGUUCUUGCAGAGGUUGGAAAAGGAUGACCUGAAAUCAGAAGAUAAUUGAAUAUGCAGGUGAAAUGGAUGUAAGUUACUCUCAGGAUACUGUUUUUGGGUAUAUGAAAAUAAGCAUUUUGCAAGCUUUAAGGUAACAAGUUACUUCAGUGUGUGUGUAUGCGUAUAUAUUUACUUUGAAAAUAAUUUAAAACUAAAUAGUUUCCUGUUAAUACAUUGGAUCCAAAGACAAAAAUCACUGUGCACUUAAGGUUAUAUAUUCUUUUAGAGGAAGUGACAGCAUUUACAGAGAUAGCAGGAUCAAAAAAGGCUU
rnacentral:lncRNA from 1 species